AGAGGGGGCCAUCUUCUUCUUCCUCUCCCAUCAGCCAUUUUUCCUACCUCACCCAUGGUUCUAGUGAGAGAAACUCUCUCUGUCUAGAUACCUCUUCCAUCUCUCUAGAUCCAUCUCCCAAAUUCGGAGGCUUGGAGGAGAAGGACCUUGCGAACGCGUGGGAGGCGACGUUUCCGGCCCUCGUGCGCCCGUUUGAGCGGCGUGCUUCCGUCUCGGUGUGCGCAUUUUGGUUAGAGAAGUGUCCCAAAUAACUCUAGGUUGCGGAUCGACGGGCGUUGGCGAUCGAUUGCGAGUUCGGCCCGAACCGGAUCACGUGUGCCGCAGGAGGCCGAUUGCAAGUGACUACAAGCAAUCGGAUAGCGUUACGAGAUGGGUUGUGUUCACCGAAAUAUUUAGCUCACUUCCAUGUCGAAGUGAAGUGAGAUUUAUCAUUGAUGCAUAUAAUGGUAGUUAAUUUCAUGAAUGAAUGCGUUGGUGGAUGCCGUGUAAAUGUAUGAGACAUUAUGUAUUGACUAUCUUGGAUGAAAAUAUAUGCAUGUUAGCAUCAUGAGAAUAUGCUA